rnacentral:rRNA from 1 species
CUACACAUGCAGUCGACGAACUCUUCGGAGUUAGUGGCAGACGGGUGAGUAACGCGUGGGAAUAUACCUUUCGGUACGGAACAACAGUUGGAAACGACUGCUAAUACCGUAUGCGCCCUAUGGGGGAAAGAUUUAUCGCCGAAGGAUUAGCCCGCGUUGGAUUAGCUAGUUGGUGGGGUAAAGGCCUACCAAGGCGACGAUCCAUAGCUGGUCUGAGAGGAUGAUCAGCCACACUGGGACUGAGACACGGCCCAGACUCCUACGGGAGGCAGCAGUGGGGAAUAUUGGACAAUGGGGGCAACCCUGAUCCAGCCAUGCCGCGUGAGUGAUGAAGGCCCUAGGGUUGUAAAGCUCUUUCAGCGAGGAGGAUAAUGACGUUACUCGCAGAAGAAGCCCCGGCUAACUUCGUGCCAGCAGCCGCGGUAAUACGAAGGGGGCUAGCGUUGUUCGGAAUCACUGGGCGUAAAGCGCACGUAGGCGGAUUGGUCAGUUAGGGGUGAAAUCCCAGAGCUCAACUCUGGAACUGCCUUUAAUACUGCCAGUCUUGAGUCCGAGAGAGGUGAGUGGAACUCCGAGUGUAGAGGUGAAAUUCGUAGAUAUUCGGAAGAAC